rnacentral:lncRNA from 1 species
CAGGGCUGCGUGUAAAUCCGCCUACCUUCUUCCGGGCGCUGGCUCCACCCCAGCUCUAACUCCUCCCGCUUCCGGUUUUAAACUUGGAUGUCUGGAUGUUACGUCAGCAGCUUCAUGACAGCUGUUGCGGUGGGCAAAACUUGGUCGUUUGAGCAGCCAAUAGGCCAAUAGCUCCUCCUGAGAUUACAGGGUAGUGUUCUGAACUGAGAUGCUGUAUUAGGUCCCAGUGGACCAACUAAGAAUCAAGAUGGAGUCACUCCUGCUGAAAUUGUGUGCCCUAAGCAGAAACAAGUAAGUAUUCAAUAUAUAAUAUAUUGUAAAUAAAUAUAUAUAUAUAUAUAUAUAUAUAUAUAUA